rnacentral:SRP_RNA from 1 species
GCCGGGCGGGGUGGCGCACGCCUGUAAUCCCAGCACUUUGGGAGGCUGAGGUGGGUGGAUCACCUGAGGUCAGGAGUUUGAGACCAGCCUGGCCAACAUGGAGAAACCCAUCUCUA